GUCCCUCCCCUCCAGCACAUGCGUUGUAUUCUCCUCUGGGUGGUCGCAUCCUCAUCUGGUGGUCCCUUGGGAUGAAGUAAACCCUCUUCCUCCUUGUCUUGCUGACAAGGAGUCUGGCACCUAUGUCUUUCUUACCACAAAAGAAUGCUCCUGUGGAAUGUAAGCACUAAACAGAACCCAGGCCCUCUGCUGGCAAGGAGUCUGGGGCCUAUUCUUCUAUCUUCUUCCUCGGGUUCUCCUUAUCUUGCCGACAAGGAGUCUGGCACCUAUGUUUUUCUCACCACAUUCUAAACCAUCCAGGUAGAAUCACAAAAUCAAACCCUCUUUUAUUAAGCGGAAUCAAUUCGAAUCAAGUCCCCCCCUCUUUCAGGACCCUGAGCAAAUGGAGCACUGGAUUGGUUACCAGGGAAGGAAGUUAGAUGUGACAGAGAAGGCCUGGUGGAUGUUGUCACUGUUGGAGAUUGCAGGGAAAAACCUCUGAUGAUUGUGUGAGGGCUCCUCAGAGAAGAAAAUGUUGCCAAUAUCCUGUCCAAAAUCUUGUAUCCCUUUAGGGGUAAAUGUACCUGCUGCUCCUCUAACAUGCCUGUAUACCAAUGCAUGCAGCAUGAGAAAUAAACAGGAUGAGCUGGAGAUCUGUGUAUGGUUGCAGGGCUGUGAUCUCAUUACAGUCACUGAGACUUGGUAGGACAGCUCGCAUGAAUGGAAUGCUGUCAUGGAGGGCUAUGUACUUUUUAGGAAAGAGAGGCUGGGGAAGGGAAGUGGAGGUGUUGCCCUUUAUGUGAGAGAGCAACUAGAAUGUAUUGAGCUCCACCUGGGGGAAGGUGGAGAAUGUGGAGAGUUUGUGGGUGAGAAUUAAGGGGCAGGCUGGUAUGGGUGACACUGUUGUGUGGGUAUACUACAGGUCACCACAUCAGGAGGAUGAAGUUGAUGAAGUACAAGCAGCUGGAAGUAGCCUUGCAACCCCAGGCACUCGUUCACAUGGGGGACUUUAAUCAUCCAGACAUCUGUUGGGUGGUGGAGGAGCCAACGAGGUGGAGGUGCUUCUGAACCUUGCUCUUACCAACAGGGUGGGUGUGUUAGGGUUCUGAAGACUGGGGGCAGCUUGGUAUGCAGUGAUCAUGAGAUGGUGAAGUUCAAGAUCUUCAGUGGAAGAAGUAAGGCAAAAAGUAGAAUUGCUAGUCUGGACUUUCAGAGAGCCAACUUUGACUUUUUCUGGGGCCUGCUUGGAAGUAUCUCAUAGGCUAGAGUAUAAGGGGGCCCAUGGGAGCUGAGGAACAUUUAAACAGCACUUCUUCCAAGCUCAGGAUUGGUGCAUCCCUAAGGGUAGGAAAUUGCGGAAGGGAGGUGGAGACCUUGCAUGGAUGAACAAGGAGCUCAUGGAUAAGAUCAAAGGGAAGAAGGUCUAUGAAAUGUGGGAAAAGGGUCUGUCCUCUUAGCAGAAGUAUAGGAAUGCUGUCAUGGCCUGCAGGGAUGCAAUGAGGAAGACUAAAGCCCACCUGGAACUGAAGCUGGCAAAGAAGAUAAAGGUUAAUAAGGAUUUUUUUUUUUUUUUUUUUUUUUUUU